rnacentral:sRNA from 1 species
CCUCUUCAACCAAUUGGGCUGAGUCAAAGUGUACAUGGGUAUCGAUCCCACCUGGUGUAGCUAUCAUUCCUGGAUCAGCGGAAAUGAUAUCCGUACCGGGACCAACGAUCAGACCCGGAGUAAUCUCCAUCGUGUUAGGAUUUCCAGCCUUUCCGAUGCCCACGAUUUUGCCUUCCUUGAUGCCAAUAUCGCCUUUGACAAUCCCUUGAAUAGGAUCCAUUAUGAUGACAUUCGUAAUGACAAAAUCUAGUGCACCUUCACUAUUUGGAAUAGAUGAUUGUCCCAUCCCCUCCCGUAAUG